rnacentral:tRNA from 2 species
AAGACACUAGUAAAAUAAUUACCUUGCCUUGUCGAGGCAAAAUUGUGGGUUAAACCCCCGCGUGUCUUA